rnacentral:rRNA from 1 species
CCUACGGGAGGCAGCAGUGGGGAAUAUUGGACAAUGGGCGAAAGCCUGAUCCAGCAAUGCCGCGUGAGUGAUGAAGGCCUUAGGGUUGUAAAGCUCUUUUACCAGGGAUGAUAAUGACAGUACCUGGAGAAUAAGCUCCGGCUAACUCCGUGCCAGCAGCCGCGGUAAUACGGAGGGAGCUAGCGUUGUUCGGAAUUACUGGGCGUAAAGCGUGCGUAGGCGGUGACUCAAGUCAGAGGUGAAAGCCUGGAGCUCAACUCCAGAACUGCCUUUGAAACUAGGUCGCUAGAAUCAUGGAGAGGUGAGUGGAAUUCCGAGUGUAGAGGUGAAAUUCGUAGAUAUUCGGAAGAACACCAGUGGCGAAGGCGGCUCACUGGACAUGUAUUGACGCUGAGGCACGAAAGCGUGGGGAGCAAACAGGAUUAGAUACCCUGGUAGUCCACGCCGUAAACGAUGAUAACUAGCUGCCAGGGCUCANGAGCUUGUGGNGCNGCACGCAUUAAGUUAUCCGCCGUGGGAGGUACGGUCGCGAGAAGUUAAACGUAACAAGUAGAAGUUAGUACGGCGUGAGACGUAGACCGACGGACGACGACGAGGGAGGAGG